CUUGUAUACUUUAGACUUCAUUUUAUAAAAUUACAUUUUUAAAACUUUUUACAUUUUUAGGAAAUACAUGUUAGCUAAAAAACUGUGUUUUGCUCCCUGCUACGUUUGCUUAUCCUAUCCUUCAUUACUCCUUGGAUUUUAGUCUAACUGGUCUUGGGACAUGCCUCUUCCCCACAAACACCCCCACCACCAUACCACAUUGCUGUGACACAUUUAGCUUGUUAAUGUGGUAAGAGUGGAGCUCACUUACAGAAUUUUUGCAGACUAGACCUUAGGCUACAGGUCUUUACCAUGGAGCAGAAAAGUGGUAUCUCAAACCUCAUCCACAAAGGUUGAUCUAGUCCAAGCCCCUCUCCAGGUUCAUGUCCAUGUACAGCUUUGUUCUUAUUGUAACAACCUACAUUUUAGAAUAGGCAACGAAGACCAUUACCAAGAGCAGUAGGAGGGGCAACCUUCGGCUGUUUGUUUUUCAGGAUCUCAACUUGUGAACUUACUCUUCUCUUCACAGAAUGGGAUAACUGCCUGGCACUCACCAAGCUACACUUGAAGAGGAUCAAUCCAUGUCAUCAUGUCCCCAAUUUCAUAGCACCAAGUAUUUUGUUUAUUCACAAAUGCCCUAUUAUGGACAUCUAGCAAACAAUGAUACAUCAGAAAAGGAGAUGUGCAUAAAUUUUCAUGGAAUAAGGGAUGCGCAUGAAAGAAUGUGCCACAGAAAAUGAGACACAUCAAUGAGGGUUGUGGAAAAUGCACUAGAAUCAACAAACAUGGGGACUAAUUCAACUCGGAUAUCAUGUCUUCAGAGAAGUUUCUCCUGCCCUCCUCUCCCUGUAGAAUUAAGUAUUCUUCCACUGUGCCACCCUCUAACUUGUGCUCAUAUCUUCCUCUAUUGUAGUUAUGUGUUCACAUCCCUGUUGUUUUUGUACCGGCUUCUCCCAAAGGGAGACAUUUAGUCUUAUUCUUCUUGGUAACUUUAGCACAGACCUGGCAGAUUGUUGACACUCAACAAAUGUUUAUUGACUCAAAUGCAUUCAGUUGAACAUUGACCUUUGAUCAACUCUGGGAAAAGUCUGCAAAGCUAGUUAGGACAUUCAGAAAUUCAUUUCAUUUCAAUCCUAACUAAAUAAAUUAUUGAAGUCUCAGAACUUCUCAGUACUUGAUUUAGACACAUAGAAACUUGGGUAAAUAACACCUAUAUUGUUAUAUUCCUCAAGAAAAAGUUUAUCUUUUCAUGAAAUGAAUCUACUGAGGAUAUUUAUAGAAACUGAAUGUAAGUGAGCAGAAUAAAGUGGUGUGUGUGUGUGUGUGUGUGUGUGUGUAUGUAAUUUGAAGAGUAGGUGGGAGAAGGUUGUGAUAGGAUAGCAGAUCUUGUUUAUGAUAGUCACCAGCUAUAACAGACACUGCCUGAUGCCUUUCCAAUAUCCACUUCCCUUUUCUUUUUUUUCUUUUUGGAACAGAGUCUCACUCUGUCCCCCAGGCUGGAGUGCAACAGCACGAUCUCGGCUUACUGCAUCCUCUGCCUCCUGGGUUCAAGCAAUUCUCAUGCCUCAGCCUCCCUAGUAGCUGGGAUUACAGGCUCUCGCCACCACGCCCAGCUAAUUUUUGUGUUUUUAGUAGAGACGGGGUUUCGCCAUGUUGGCCAGGCUAGUCUUGAACUCCUGACCUCAGGUGAUCCACCUGCCUCAGCCUCUCUAAGUGCUGGGAUUACAGGCGUGAGCCACCGUGCCUGGCUCUCUUUUCUUACUUAAUGUCUGUGUCAAUUAAAUAGAAAUGUAUCAAGUUAAAAACCUUGCCUCGGUAGCUUCCAGUGCAAAUAAAGGUACCCAUGCCACCCCAUUCUGGCCAGCAGUAAAAUUGAUGGAAGCCUCUGGUUGGGGCUUCAAGGAAAGCUUUAUCAAAAGAUAAACUCACUGGCUUUGUCCCUUAGUUCAGUGGUCCCCAACCUUUUUGGCACCAAGAGACCAGUUUUGUGGAAGACAAUUUUUUCCAUGGACCAGGAGGGUUCCGGGGGAUGGUUUUGGGAUGAAAAUGUUUCACCUUAGAUAUCAUCGGGCAUUCAAUUCUCAUAAGGAGCCUGCAACCUAGACCUCUCACAUGUGCAGUUCACAAUAGGGUUCAUGCUCCUAUGAGAAUCUAAUGCCACUGCUGAUCUGACAGGAGGCAGAGCUCAGGCAGUAAUGCUCACUAGUUCCGUUGCUCGCCUCCUGCUGUGCAGCCCAGUUCCUAACAGGACACAGACCAGUACUGGUUCGCAACCCAGGGUUUGGGGGCCCCUGUCUUAGUUCCUUUGCCUUCCUUCCAGAUGGAUGCCUGGAGGAACAAUCAUCCCGCAAUUGUGAAAAUUGAAGCCAUAUUUUAAAGUUGGUUUCAAUUGUAAUACAGAAGAAAUCUGGACCUUGAUGACAUUUGAGCUAGAGUACUAAUCUUGAUCUUCCUAUUCAUGAGCUUGUUGCAAGAGACAAGACUUUUACUGAUUUAACUCAUUGUUGGGAUUUCUUGGAACUAAACACAGUCAUAAUACAUUUUUUCCUUCCCAGGAAAAUGGUAGAGCAUGACUUUUCAAAUCUAAUAAAACUCAUGUGUAGCUAAAACCACUCUACUGAAACAAUUCCAUCUCAGCCCAUGGUACAAGGGAUUUUCCUGAAUGAAAAAUGGUGUCUGAUCAUUUUGUUGGUUUCUUUGUUGGUUUUUCCUGAAACUUAGGGUUAAAGAAUCCAGGAAAGUUGUCUUAGAUAGAGUUAUAAUUUCCGUGGACAUCAACUGAUAAAUGCAAUUACAGUUUGUAUGCCUAGGUUUGGCAAAAAUCAUAUAAGCAACAUCCCUCACAUAAUAUUGUUUUAAUUAAAUUUUAUUUCUUUCUUGGUAUGAAACAUACUGCAGAAGCACAAUCAAUGAACAUUGGAUAGUUUCCUUAAAUCUUGCUCUUUGUCCUAUUUAUAUAAUUUAUUGUGUCAGUGGUUCUCAAGUGGUAUGCUCCUGCAACUCAUCAUCUGAAAAUCCUUCCCAGAUGUGCUGAAAAAUUUUCAUUAAUUUGUAUAUUCUAUUUUAUUUUUAUAACUAAGUACACAUGCUUGUGACUGGAAGAGAAGACACCCCUCAUUUAAUCCCAGAGGAAUAUUUGGCCUUGAUUCAUGCCCUGCUCACUCCACCCCAUUAUUAAGAUAGAGAUCGCUGAAGAAAUCCCUGCUCUAUAAAUGUAGCUGAUCCAAAAACAAAAUGGAAAUUCAUUAUUUUAAAUAUUUCUACAAGAUCUUUGUACAACUCUAUUUUUUUUUCCUAUUAAGAAUUACAUGAUUCUAGAAUAAGUUCCAACCCUAAGUAUCAACACUGGAACACAAUUUUAAAACAGGAGGCGAUUAUCUCUAUAGUGAGAUUUAACUACAGAGGUGAUAGCUCUGGUUAGUGAAUUUCAGGACUAGAAAUCAGGCCUGCUGUCUCUUAGCUUAGAGGAGGUAUAAUAAGAAGAGGAUUAGAACUACUGUGUAUAUUAACAAGAAGAACUCUAUUAUGUUCAGCUAUCAUUAUAUAUGAUAUUAUGUUUCUUUUUAUGAACUAUAGUUCACUGUCUUUAAGCAUAAUGUUUGCCCAAGGUGGGGGUGUUGGUGUGUGUCUGUGUGUAUAUGCAUGUGUGCACAUGUGUGUAUGUAUAGUUGAUUCAUUCAUUCUGACCUACUGAAUUUACUGAAGGAAUAAGAAGAAAUACCUUGAACUGAGGGACCUGGCUUAGCUCAACAUCUGUACCAUCUACCUUUGAGUAUCCAUUCCUUUACUAUGAAGCAUGGAUGCUAAAACUAAAAUUGCAUUUGCUAAACUACUUUGUAGCUAGAUUCCUGGGUGAGAUUAGAUUUGGUCAAUUAGAUGUUCUUGUGUAACAUUUAGAAGGUGAUAGUAAGGCAAAGGUCAUGUGACUGGCUGAUUUUAUUUAUGUUCAAUGAUCUUUAUUGGGGUACACUUUAUAUAUAAUAAUAAAUAAUGCACACAUUUUAAGUGUACAAUUUGAUGAGUUCUGACAAAUUUAUAUGCAUGUAUAACCAGCAUCAAUAUCAAGAUAUAUAAUGAUCCCCUCAUUCCAGAAUAGUCUCUUGUGUUCUUUCCAGCCAAUGCCCCACCCCUGGAUUCUGGCAACAAUUGAUCUGCUUUUUAUUACCAUGGAUUAUAUUUGUCUUUCCUAGAGAUACAAAUAAAUGAAAUAAUGUAGUGUGUCCUCUUUAACUUUGGCUUAUUUCUCUCGGCACACUAUUUCUGAAAUUUGUCCAUACUGUUGAUAUGGCAGACAGAAUUUUAAGAUGGUUCCUAAAAUUCUUGCCUCCUGGUAUGUAUAAUUUUCUCUCGGUUUUCCGCUGAACACUAACCUAGGUGCUAUUGUAAAGGGAUUUCUCAAGUGUAAUUAAAGUCCCUAAUAAGUUUAUUUUAAGUUAGAAAAAUUUUCCCAGGUGAGCUUGAGCUAAGUGAGUGACCUAAGCAGGUGAGUUGUUAGAAAAAAAUUAAGAGAUAUUUGAAGCGUAGACAAAAUUCUGUUGGCUUUUAAAAGAAAACUUCCAUGUGAUAGAGAAAGCCAGAUGAUAGGGAACACAAGGUUACCUCUAAAUUGACAACCAGCAAAAAAGCUGAGACUUCAGUCUUAUCAUCAUAAGGAAUUGAAUUCUGUCAACAGCCACGUGACCUUAGAGGAGGCCCCUGAGCCGCAGAUGAGAUCAUGGCCCUGGCCAAUACCUUAAAUUCAUCCUGGUGAGAUAUGAGCAGAGAACUCAGCUAUGCCAUGCUCAGAUUUCUCACCUGUAGAGCAGUAAAUUAAUAAGUGAGCAUUAUUUGAAGCUGCUAAGUUUGUGGUGAUUUGUUACACAUCAAGAGAAAACAUAUGCUGUAUAUAUUAUUAGAUUUUUCCUUUAUAUUGGUGGGUGUAUUUGUUAUCUAUUACUUCCUAACAAAUCGACAAUAAUUAAGUGUCUUAAGACAACACAUAUUUAUUACCUCAUAGUUUCUGUGGGUCAGAAAUCUGGGCAUGGUUUAUGUGAGUUCUUUGAUUUAAAGUUGUUGGCAAAUCUGUAAACAAGGAAGCAGUCAGGACCGAGGUCUCAUCUGAAAGUCAACUUGGGAUGGGUCUGCUUCCAGCCUCACUUAACAUAACAGCUGGCAGGAUUCAGUUGCUCUUGGGUAGUUGGAUUGAUGGCCUCAGAUAACUAGGUAGCUAUUAGCUAGAUUUCACCCUCAGUUUGUUGCCGUGUGGGCCUCCCUAAGGUGGCAAUUUACUUCAUCAAAACCAGCAAGGGAGAGAGUUGGCUACAAUCUCUAGUAAUGUAGCUACAGAAAUGACAUCCCCUUAGCAAUGAGAUAUUUUAUUAAUUAGAAAGAAAUUACUCAACAGGAGGGGAUUACACAAUGUAGUGAAUACCAGGAGGCUGAGAUCAGAAGGAGCUAGUGUAGAAGCUGCCUACCACAGUGAGUAGUAUUCUAUUACAUGAAUAUACCAGAAUGUCUGAAUCCACCCAACUGGGCAUAGACGUUUGUGUUCAUUCAAGAUACAGACUAUUAUUAUUUUAAAAAUAAAAGUUACUAUGAACAUUUAAGUAUAAGCUUUUGUGUGGGCGUGUUUCAUUUGUUUUGAAUGAAAUUGCAGGGUCGCAUAGAAAAUGCAUAUUUAAUCUUAUAAGAAGCUGCUUAAAAUGCUUUGCAAUGUGAUUUUACCAUUUUACACUCCCAACAAUGUAUAGCAAUAUAUCAUAGAUCUAGUGGUUUCAUAUCUCCACAAACACUUGAUAUUGUCACUCAGUUUAAUUGUAGCUACUUAAAUAGGCUUAUAAUGGUACUCGUUAUGAUUUUAAUAUGCAUUUCCCUAAUGCCUAUUAGGGACUAAUUAUGUUAAGCAUCUUUUCAUGUAUUUGGAGGCCAUUUGUGUACCUUCAUUUGUAAAAUAUCUGUUUAAGUAGCUUGCCCAUUUGGAUUGCUUUACAUUUUAUUAUAGAGUCAUAAGCAUCCUUUAUAUAUUCUGAAUAUAACUCUUUUAUCAGACAUACAUAUAUAUCAAAUAUUUUUUUCUAAGUUUGUGGUUUGUGUUUUUACUUUUUAUACUGUUUAUUGAAUAGUAGAUUUUAUAUUCAUUUUAUCCAUUCUGUUAUGAUCGAUAUUUUUUGAACUAUGAAAAUAUUGCUAUGUAAAAAUAAAAAAUAUAUUUUCAUCCCGAGUUUCAUAAUUUUAGCUUUCACUCUUAUAUCUGUGAUUCAUUCUGAGUUUUCUUGUAUAGUUUAAAGUCAGAGUGGGUGUUUGUUUGCUUAUUAAUAUAUUUAUAGAUAUUUCUAAUUCUUUCUAGCACCAUUUAUUAAAAAGUCUCUUUUUUUACCCAUUGAAUUAUUUUUUUUAAAUUGUUAUGUCUAAAAUCAAAUUACCAAAUACACAUUGUCUAUUUUGAACUAUUUAUUCUGUUUCAUUGAUUUUUAUGUGUUCCUUUACACCAAUAUCAUUGUCUUAAUUACUGUAGAUUUGUUGGAAAUAUGGGAGUCAAAUUUAAGGAUUUCAAUUUUGUCCUUUUAUCAAGUUGUUUUGGCUGUUCUAGGUCCUUUGCAUUUCCCUAUAACAUUUGGAAUUAGGUUGUCAAUAUUUCCCCAGAAUAAAGCCUGCUGGGAUUUUGAACAGGAUUGCAUGGAAUCUAUAAAUCAAUUUAGUGAGAAUUAAUAACAUAUUAAGUACUCUAAUUGAUGAACAUAGUAUCAUCUUCCAUUUAUUUAGUCUUUGACUUCUCGGAAAUGUUUUAUAGUUUUCAGUGUGUAGGUCUUGAAGUUUGUAAAAUUCUAAGUGUUUUAUGGUUUUGACUGUAAUUGUAAAUACCUCCCAUUGUUCAUUGUUAGUACAUAGAAAUAAAAUAAAUUUUGUAUUAAUUUGUCUCAUGCAAUCUUCUAUACUCACUUCUUUCCAAUAGUUUUAUGUGGAAUUCUUAG
rnacentral:lncRNA from 1 species